AUUCAUAUCUGUACCUCACUCAGAACAUUUACAGCAAUGAGAGAAAGAAAUGUUGUGCCCAGAUCUGAAAUUCUAGUCAAAUACAUGGGAGAAAGCCUGAGGCAGCCUCAGAAAAUCCUGUCGCAUGACUUUGCUCUGAAGCACCGUGACAGAAAACCGAGAUCGGCAGAG